UACGAAGGGGCUAGCGUUGUUCGGAAUCACUGGGCGUAAAGGCGCGUAGGCGGCGUUUAUAAGUCGGGGGUGAAAGCCUGUCGGGCUCAACCACGAAGAAUUGCCUUCGAUACUGUAGAGCUUGAGGACCGGAAGAGGUAAGGUGGAACUGCGAGUGUAGAGGUGAAAUUCGUAGAUAUUCGCAAGAACACCAGUGGCGA
rnacentral:rRNA from 1 species